rnacentral:rRNA from 1 species
AGAGUUUGAUCCUGGCUCAGAUUGAACGCUGGCGGCAGGCCUAACACAUGCAAGUCGAACGGUAGCACAGAGAGCUUGCUCUUGGGUGACGAGUGGCGGACGGGUGAGUAAUGUCUGGGAAACUGCCCGAUGGAGGGGGAUAACUACUGGAAACGGUAGCUAAUACCGCAUAACGUCGCAAGACCAAAGUGGGGGACCUUCGGGCCUCACACCAUCGGAUGUGCCCAGAUGGGAUUAGCUAGUAGGUGGGGUAAUGGCUCACCUAGGCGACGAUCCCUAGCUGGUCUGAGAGGAUGACCAGCCACACUGGAACUGAGACACGGUCCAGACUCCUACGGGAGGCAGCAGUGGGGAAUAUUGCACAAUGGGCGCAAGCCUGAUGCAGCCAUGCCGCGUGUAUGAAGAAGGCCUUCGGGUUGUAAAGUACUUUCAGCGAGGAGGAAGGCGUUGUGGUUAAUAACCGCAGCGAUUGACGUUACUCGCAGAAGAAGCACCGGCUAACUCCGUGCCAGCAGCCGCGGUAAUAC